rnacentral:rRNA from 1 species
AUUGAACGCUGGCGGCAUGCCUAACACAUGCAAGUCGAACGGCAGCACGGUCUGGUUUACCAGAUGGGUGGCGAGUGGCGAACGGGUGAGUAAAGCGUAGGAAUAUACCUUAAAGAGGGGGAUAACCUGGGGAAACUCAGGCUAAUACCGCGUAAACUCUGCGGAGCAAAGCUGGGGACCGAAAGGCCUGGCGCUUUAAGAAUAGCCUGCGUCCGAUUAGCUAGUUGGUGGGGUAAAGGCUCACCAAGGCGACGAUCGGUAGCUGGUCUGAGAGGACGAACAGCCACACUGGGACUGAGACACGGCCCAGACUCCUACGGGAGGCAGCAUGGGGAAUAUUGGACAAUGGGGGGAACCCUGAUCCAGCAAUGCCGCGUGUGUGAAGAAGGCCUGAGGGUUGUAAAGCACUUUCAGUGGGAGGAGGAUUACUAGGUUAAGAGCCAGGUAAUUGGACGUUACCCACAGAAGAAGCACCGGCUAACUCCGUGCCAGCAGCCGCGGU